CUGCGAGGUGGGACAGUGAGCCCGUAUAUAUGAAAAUUGCAUUUACCACUUAUUGCUUAGCUAAUAAAAAAUACAUAGUAUACAAUCGGUGACUCAUUAUCAUAUUUAUCCUGAUACCAGAUUCGAUUGACGCGACUCUAACAAUUGGUGACCCCUAACGUGAUCUGGUGAAGGAUUUCGCUGGACAUUGGUGUGCCAGCCGAUUGGCCAGUACUGUCGUCGGACGGUGUGUCUCACAAAUCCUGACCGGUCAACUAAAAAAGGAGGAGGACCUGAGCCCUAGGACCAUGCCUCAGGACUACCUGGCAUGAUGACUCCUUUCUGUUCCCAGUCCACCUGGCCGUGCUGCUGCUCCAGUUUCAACUGUUCUGCCUGCGGCUAUGGAACCCUGACCUGUUCACCGGAUGUGCUACCUGUCCCAGACCUGCUGUUUUCAACUCUCUAGAGACAGCAGGAGAGGUAGAGAUACUCUGAAUGAUCAGCUAUGAAAAGCCAACUGACAUUUACUCCUGAGGUGCUGACUUGCUGCACCCUCGACAACUACUGUGAUUAUUAUUAUUUGACCAUGCUGGUCAUUUAUGAACAUUUGAACAUCUUGGCCAUGUUCUGUUAUAAUCUCCACCCCGGCACAGCCAGAAGAGGGCUGGCCACCCCUCAUAGCCUGGUUUUUCCUAGAUUUUGGCCUUUCUAGGGAGUUUUUACUAGCCACCGUGCUUCUACACCUGCAUUGCUUGCUGUUUGGGGUUUUAUGCUGGGUUUCUGUACAGCACUUUGAGAUAUCAGCUGAUGUAAGAAGGGCUAUAUAAAUACAUUUGAUUUGAAUAAAAUGUCACCCAACAAAAAAUAUAUGCAUGGGAAGGUACCCUUGUUUUGUAGGAAAGGCUUUCUGUCUGAAUUCUAUAGGCAGUCUUCAUGGACACACACAGGUAACAGGUGAGUCCGAUCUCUCAUGCUGGGCCUUGUCAAAAACAUAACAUGAACAUUAGUUAAACCACGAAACAAAGAAUAUCAUGCCUUUUAAAUGUCAAGUCAUUCUCUUUUGGAUUUAGCAAUAGUGUAUUUUUCCUCUGACCAUGUUCUAUGAUUUCUAUGCAUCAUUUCAAUUGUAAUAACUUUGUUACAUUUCAUGCUAUUAUGUAAUGUUCUCCAUCCCUGAACUUCACUGGCUUUUUGAUAGACCGCAAACUCGUAAAAAGUAUCAUAAAAUGUCACCCUCCACAACAACAAAAAGAUAUGCAUGGGAAUGUACCCUUGUUUUGUAGGAAAAGCUUUCUGUCUGAAUUCUAUUGGCAGCAUCAUAGACUGGUCACUCUUCAUGGACAUACAGCCGGUCUAUGCUUGUGGACGGGGCCUCAGGACAACACAGAAAAACAUUCCAGCUUUAAUUCAAACUGUCUGAAAAUGAUGGAAUUGUAUUGAGCUCCUUGCAGGAUUUCAGAUCUCAAGUCAUAUCUGCACACACAGAUACUCAAACAUACAGCACAGACUGUUUUCACUUCUUAGCUCCAUGGAAGGGGUCCUAAUCCACGGCAGGACUCAUUUCAGAGGCUGAACUCUUCUCCUUUCUUGAAAGAGACUCAUUUUAAAGGCAGUGGUCCUUCUCUCUCUUCACCUAAAGCGACUCUUGAUAUGUACCUACCCUGUGAAUGCAUAUGCAGUAGAUCAUGGGCGGAGUCUUCAUCUUAACAUUUUCCAAUGCUUGUGUCUCUCUACUACUUGUGCCAUGCCUUGCCAUGUUGUUCAGUCACACAUCAUUAUACUGUACGCACACUGUACAGGAAGUAUUUGUCUUAGGACAGCACAAAUUAUUCUAACUGACACUAACUUUAAUGUCACAGCUGCAAAGGGAAUUAAAUUGCAUCUUACUAUACAUUUAUGUAUUUUGCAUGUUUCUUGACUGUAUGUUUGUCUGUUCUACGUCACCAUCAUCCUCAUCAUGAUCACCAUCAUGUAUGUACAAUAUGUAAUUACUAAAAUAUCGUAUGGAUGGUUGUAUGUAGAGUUAGGCCUAUUGAUACAGUGGACUAGUGAAGUUCAUUGUAACUGAGUCUAUUCUAUUAUACCUGCUUGCUUAAUUCUCACGAGUCCUUCUCCUGUUUGUUUUUUUACACAGAGCAGUUGAACACAUUACAUGGUGAGCAGAAAAUGGCGGAAUCUGAUGCUGAGUUUGAAUCUGAUGGCACUAGCAAAGAUGAGAAUGAAGGUGACGACAAUACUGGACGGACAACCGUCACUGAAGGACAGAUAAAGAGAGCUCAAAUCACAAUGAAAAAAACAUCUAAGCCUACUACUAAUUGAUUUUUAGUAUAAUAAGACAAAUACUUCAACUAGGCCUACUUCACAGUUUGUAGUAGCAGCAUGGUUUAAGGAUAAGAAGAUGUACCUGGGAGAUCUGUUUUGAUGUUAAAUGGUGAAUAAUCUGUUGGGUAAAGUGAAAUCUUUGAGGCUGACGAGAACUGGAAUUCUGUAGAUUUUUUUGUGUCGGCAGAACAAAAGGACUAUGCGUUGCGCCUCACCAGAAUCAAGGAGAAAGAGGUGACUGCCAUCGGAGCAGAGCACCAUUGAAGGGUGUUUUUUCUGGAGUCUCUGUGGAAGUUGGAGUGGAGAAGACCAAUAUGAAAAUGUCUGGAGUGUAGUUGGGAGUGAGUAUAGAGCAGACGGCACGGGUCAAAAUUUUGAUUUAUGGCCCUGUGUCCAGAUGAUGCGUACAUGUCCAAAUAUGGGCAUCCGGCCAGGACAUCCUGUUCCUGUUGUCACGUGUUAGAGGGUGUGUUAUUUUAUAUCUAUAUUGCAUCUAUUCCUUUGAAGUUGUCAUGCUGAUUGAUGUCUAGGUACCUGGUUGAACUGGGGGGUUCUGUGUUUGAACUUUUGAAAGAGUAUGGCCCCACACCCCUGUUUUAUUGCCUGUAGGAUUGCUAUCUAUGAAGCAGGAAUGUGUGUGUGUGUGUGUUAGAAACAAGGUCCCUUGGCAUUGUGUACAUUUCACGCUUUCAACAACAAUAAAACAGCCAUCUAAAUAAUGUUUCUCAGCCUAACACUCUGUUGAGUUUCCUAUUUAGUUCUCUUUAUAUGUACAUGCACAGAGCUUCCAGGUGGUUCCAGCCUAUGGAUGUUCGGUGCAUGUACACCAGGGAGAUUAGAACCUAAACAAGAUUUUUAAAAUAAAACCCAGAAUAUUAAACAUAAAAAUAUGUCUCCUAGGCCAAUUCUCGGGGUGCUAUGCGGCUCAUGUCAUGAACCCAAUGACAAAAGCCUGGAGGAUGUUUUGCGUGAGACCCCAGAAUGUUUUAAUGGAGUUAAUGGAGCCCUAAGAAUCGCUUCAAUGGCGUAUACCCCUGACUCCAAAGUGACAAUUUUAGCAUGUGAACAAUUUGAUAGAUUUCGUCGCAUUUGCACUGUCAGUUCAUAUGUAUUUUCCAAAGCAUGCAAGGAUGUAAACUUUUUUUUUAUGCCUGUGUUAAGUUUUAAAUGGCGUGAUUAUCAUAUCUUCAGAACACUUAUGAAUAAGCUGGACAGUCUUUUCCAAAAUCGUGAACAAUUACGGCGAUGGCCGAGGUUAUCGUUGAGACAAACACAGGACUCGCAAGCCAGAAGGAGGAUCUUUCCCUAGAGUGAAAACGUCCGGAGCUUUGAUGGAGCGGGCAAGCGUCUUUGCGAUGGUGAAUUGGAAACGGAUAAUGGUCAGGGCUAACCAGCCCCUUUAUCUGUCAGAAAUAGUAAAAAUGUUGAAUUAUAACGUGUGUUAAAAUGUAUGUACUAAAUAUUUUGAAUUAAAUCAUUGGUUUUAAAAAUGUAUCUCACCCUUUAACGAAAGGGGAAACUGUCUUUUCUCUCAUGCCCUGGUCUGUCGCAGAGAAAUGCAAUGUCUUAAAAAAACAAUGUAUUAUUUUAUAGUCUUUCCUACAAUGGUAUGUUAUAAACAUUACUGGUUAUUAAAGUUUGUAAUGAUUUACAACUGUAGGCCUCCAAUGUUUUUACAUAAAACACUCGUGAUGCAUGUUUAAAUAUUAGUAAAAUUGGGUAAUUAAUUCUAACAUGUCUUUAAAAAGUUUGUACUAAAUAUUUUGGAAUUAAAUAAAAGGUAUUUAAAACAGUAUCUCACCCUUUAACGAUAGGAAAAUGUAUUUUACAUCAUCACUCCGGUCUGUUGCGAAGAAAAAAGACACAGAAAAUCAGGGUGCGUGUGACGGGCCAGCAGGAGUGUGUGUUUCAAAAACAAAGGGGAGGGGUGUGUGUUCAACAAUGCCCAGGCAUCUGCACUCAAGGCCCCUUCUCUCUGUAGGGGAUCGUUUGAAACCAAGGUUUACACUAUCGUGCAUGCAGCAUGUCCAG
ensembl:lncRNA